rnacentral:rRNA from 1 species
GUAGGUUGCGAGCGUUGUCCGGAUUUACUGGGCGUAAAGCGCGCGCCUGUGGUCCUGAAAGUCGAGCGUGAAAGCUCCCGGCCCAACUGGGAGAGGCCGUUCGAAACUUCAGGACUUGAAGGCGGGAGAGGCAAAUGGAAUUUCCGGUGUAGCGGUAAAAUGCGUAGAUACCGGAAGGAACACCAGUGGCGAAAGCGAUUUGCUGGCCCGCCCUUGACACUCAGGCGCGAAAGCUAGGGGAGCGACCGGGAUUAGAUACCCCGUUAGUCCUAGCCGUAAACAAUGGGCACUAGGUGUUGUCGGUAUCGACCCCGGCAGUGCCGAAGCUAACGCAUUAAGUGCCCCGCCUGGGGAGUACGAUUUUAAUGUUA